rnacentral:rRNA from 1 species
UGCAGUCGAACGGUGAACACGGAGCUUGCUCUGUGGGAUCAGUGGCGAACGGGUGAGUAACACGUGAGCAACCUGCCCCUGACUCUGGGAUAAGCGCUGGAAACGGCGUCUAAUACUGGAUAUGUGACGUGACCGCAUGGUCUGCGUUUGGAAAGAUUUUUCGGUUGGGGAUGGGCUCGCGGCCUAUCAGCUUGUUGGUGAGGUAAUGGCUCACCAAGGCGUCGACGGGUAGCCGGCCUGAGAGGGUGACCGGCCACACUGGGACUGAGACACGGCCCAGACUCCUACGGGAGGCAGCAGUGGGGAAUAUUGCACAAUGGGCGGAAGCCUGAUGCAGCAACGCCGCGUGAGGGAUGACGGCCUUCGGGUUGUAAACCUCUUUUAGCAGGGAAGAAGCGAAAGUGACGGUACCUGCAGAAAAAGCGCCGGCUAACUACGUGCCAGCAGCCGCGUAGUAAUACGUAGGGCGCAAGCGUUAUCCGGAAUUAUUGGGCGUAAAGAGCUCGUAGGCGGUUUGUCGCGUCUGCUGUGAAAUCCCGAGGCUCAACCUCGGGCCUGCAGUGGGUACGGGCAGACUAGAGUGCGGUAGGGGAGAUUGGAAUUCCUGGUGUAGCGGUGGAAUGCGCAGAUAUCAGGAGGAACACCGAUGGCGAAGGCAGAUCUCUGGGCCGUAACUGACGCUGAGGAGCGAAAGGGUGGGGAGCAAACAGGCUUAGAUACCNUGGUAGUCCACCCCGUAAACGUUGGGAACUAGUUGUGGGGUCCAUUCCACGGAUUCCGUGACGCAGCUAACGCAUUAAGUUCCCGCCUGGGGAGUACGGCCGCAAGGCUAAACUCAAAGGAAUUGACGGGGACCCGCACAAGCGGCGGAGCAUGCGGAUUAAUUCGAUGCAACGCGAAGAACCUUACCAAGGCUUNACAUAUACGAGAACGGGCCAGAAAUGGUCAACUCUUUGGACACUCGUAAACAGGUGGUGCAUGGUUGUCGUCAGCUCGUGUCGUGAGAUGUUGGGUUAAGUCCCGCAACGAGCGCAACCCUCGUUCUAUGUUGCCAGCACGUAAUGGUGGGAACUCAUGGGAUACUGCCGGGGUCAACUCGGAGGAAGGUGGGGAUGACGUCAAAUCAUCAUGCCCCUUAUGUCUUGGGCUUCACGCAUGCUACAAUGGCCGGUACAAAGGGCUGCAAUACCGUGAGGUGGAGCGAAUCCCAAAAAGCCGGUCCCAGUUCGGAUUGAGGUCUGCAACUCGACCUCAUGAAGUCGGAGUCGCUAGUAAUCGCAGAUCAGCA